UCGCGGCCUCUCGGUGAUGCAGUCCUCGAUGGCAUCGACUUCGAUAUCGAGGGCGGUACACCCCUGCACUGGGACGAUCUUGCAAGGUUCCUAAAAGGGUAUAGCAACUCCGGCAGGAGAGUGUACUUGACUGCCGCGCCACAGUGCCCUUUCCCUGAUGCAUGGGUGGGAGGCGCCCUCAACACCGGUCUCUUUGACUAUGUGUGGGUGCAGUUCUACAACAAUGCUCCUUGCCAAUAUACUUCAGGAAGCACUUCCAAUCUAGCUGAUUCAUGGAAGCAGUGGUUGACCGUUCCUGCAAAGCAGAUCUUCCUUGGUCUACCGGCAUCACCUGAGGCUGCUGGGAGCGGGUUCAUCCCGGCUGAUGACCUAAAGUCUGAUGUUCUCCCAUUGAUCAAGAGUGCGGGGAAGUAUGGUGGGAUCAUGUUGUGGUCCAAGUAUUAUGAUGACCAGGAUGGCUAUAGCUCUUCGGUGAAGAAUGAUGUUUGA
rnacentral:rRNA from 1 species